rnacentral:rRNA from 1 species
UCUACUUGACUAGCUGAGAGGAGGUGCAUGGCCGUCGUCAGUUUCGUACUGUGAAGCAUCCUGUUAGGUCAGGCAACGAGCGAGACCCACGCCAACAGUUGCCAGCUCGUCCUCCGGGAUGGUGGGGACACUGUUGGGACCGCCUCUGCUAAAGAGGAGGAAGGAAUGGGCAACGGUAGGUCAGCAUGCCCCGAAUUAUCUGGGCUACACGCGGGCUACAAUGGGUGGGACAAUGGGUAUCGACACCGAAAGGUGAAGGCAAUCUCCUAAACCCAUCCGUAGUUCGGAUUGUGGGCUGCAACUCGCCCACAUGAAGCUGGAAUCUGUAGUAAUCGUGUCUCAAAAUGGCACGGUGAAUAUGUCCCUGCUCCUU